AUUUCAAGUGAUGAGAAAAAAAUAACUGCAACAAUAUGAUUGGAAUUCCAUUCCAAUGAUUCUUCUGUAUUUAAGUCUCUGAUGAUCCUUUCAUAUAUUUCUAGAUAAGUUUCUUUAUUCUCUUCACAUGUUUUCUACCUUAUUUUUAUGUUUAUGUGAAAAACUAAGUUUAUAAGAGAUAUGAUGAAUUUUUCAUUGGUCCGUGUUUCUGAUUAACCGUGACCGAAAACCUUUUUCCAAUUUCUGAUCUCUUUUUAUAAUUUUGAUUCUGCUUUGAUGAUUUAAGAACAAAUUCACAUGUCAGACUUCAGAGAUUUUAAAAAAUCAAUGAGAAUGACAAUUCUAAAUUCUGAGCAGAAU